rnacentral:rRNA from 1 species
CGCCUGGGGAGUGCGGCCGCAAGGUUAAAACUCAAAUGAAUUGACGGGGGCCCGCACAAGCGGUGGAGCAUGUGGUUUAAUUCGACGCAACGCGAAGAACCUUACCUGGCCUUGACAUGCAGAGAACUUUCCAGAGAUGGAUUGGUGCCUUCGGGAACUCUGACACAGGUGCUGCAUGGCCGUCGUCAGCUCGUGUCGUGAGAUGUUGGGUUAAGUCCCGUAACGAGCGCAACCCCUAUCCCUAGUUGCUAGCAGUUCGGCUGAGAACUCUAGGGAGACUGCCGGUGACAAACCGGAGGAAGGUGGGGAUGACGUCAGGUCAUCAUGGCCCUUACGGCCAGGGCUACACACGUGCAACAAUGGUGCGCACAGAGGGCUGCAAACCCGCGAGGGGGAGCCAAUCUCACAAAACGCAUCGUAGUCCGGAUCGCAGUCUGCAACUCGACUGCGUGAAGUCGGAAUCGCUAGUAAUCGUGAAUCAGAAUGUCACGGUGAAUACGUUCCCGGGCCUUGUACACACCGCCCGUCACACCACGGGAGUGGAUUGCACCAGAAGUGGUUAGUCUAACCUUCGGGAGGACGAUCACCACGGUGUGGUUCAUGACUGGGGUGAAGUCGUAACAAGGUAACCGUA